rnacentral:snoRNA from 1 species
AGGUGUGGAUGAUGAGAGAUUAGAAAAAAACAGUUAUCCCUGUCUGAGUUAUAUUUGCUGAUAUUCUUAUCUCUGACGCAUCG